UUCGUUGUAGCGACCAUUCUUCGCCUACAGAAGUUUUCAGACUCAAUCAAGAGCGCUUUGAUUGGACGACUCAAGAUUCAAAGAAUUUCUUUAUAUCUUUUGUGAACAAAACAUAUGAAGUGUUGAAAAUCUUCAAAAGAGAUACUUUGGUCUUCUUUCAAGAACUUCACGAGAAAAAGUUAUAACAUAAGAGGACAAACUGGAAAAAAGUAUUCUGUAACUGGGAGCACUAGAAGAGCGAGCCAGAACAAAC